ensembl:lncRNA
AAAGUUAAGUAAAAUUUGGAAUCAACAUUUAAAUUAGGUAUGCUUUAUGGCUUGAUGUUAUUUGAAAGCUGAAUAGCUGAUGUCAAAAAUAGACUUCCCUUUCUUUCCAAAGUGUGGCAAAAAUAACCACAUGCUUUUCUUGGAUUCCUGACUCUCACCCCUAAGGGUUUUCUUGUAUAGGAACCAACAAUUCCUUGGAUGGAAACACUGGAUAGGCUAGUCAUUAUUUUGAGAUUUAGGAGAUUGCAGAUUCUUGGCAGACUGUGGUUGUUUUUCUAGAGUAGUAGGCAAGUAGUUGGACAAAAAGCAAGAAGCUGAUCCAUGUUGCUGGCUUUGGGUUCUUCGUGAACAAAUGAGACAAGGCUGAAAAUUCUAUGCGCAUUCUACCCAGCUUCUUAGAAGGUCCUCACAGAAGAUGAGAUGGAUCACGUGGCCACCUUCACUGCCUCCUUCCCCACUUUACUCCUUCCAGGAGUCUAGGGACUCCUGUCUGCUGGGAUCAUUCUCCAAAAUAACCUUCCUUUACAGAAACCCUUGUCACAGGCUCUGUUUCCUGCGCGGAACCCAGACUGAGACACUAAAAUGAUACAAUAGAAUGAAGACAUGAAUGUGAAUUGCUCAGGGGUUGGUUGGAUUGUAUAUCUCUGUGAAUAGGGUUCAAAGAGAAGUUUGGGAAACACUGGACUAGAUGACCACUGGCAUCACAGCGUGUAGAAUUAGAACCUUCACAUCCCCAUCCAGCUAUAACAGGUUUAUGAGUAUCUAGGUCUUCCACGAAGAACAGUAGGAGAAGAUCCCCAAGCCUCGUCAGACCUGUUGAAUAUCCAUGAGUAUGUGUGACAUCCAGGAGAAACAGAGAACAAAACAAAACAGAACAUUUUCACAAACAUUCAGAACCCUACGAUCUUGGGAGUCUUCUGCACUCUAUAGUAGUAAUAGAUUAUGUCCAAAUCUGUUACAAAUUAUUAAACUGCAAGUGAUGUUGGCCUAUUCCAAGGAAACUGUUGGUCUCACUCUAGGGCAUGCCUAAAGGUAAAGGAGGAGGAGACCCAAGGAGGGCUUCUUUGCUUCUGUCCUCAUCCAUCCCGGGGAAAGGUGGCCUUUGCGUCAGCCAGGUUGUUGGCUGGACUCUGGGGAUUCUGAGAAUCUAGUUACCUGCCUGUCCCUCUCUGUACCUGUAUGAUCUAGGCCAGUGGAUCUCAAAGUGUGAUUCCUGGAUGAGACCAUCUUUUUCCAAAGGCAAAUUUUGUACUAGGAGGGAGAUUAGAAAUGCCAAUUCUUGGGUCCCACCCGGAUCUUCAACAAUCUGUUCUGACAAGCCUUCCAGAUGAUUCUGAUGCUGGCUCAAGUUUGAGAACGACUGUCCGAGGCCUUUUCCUUCUCACUUAGCUUGUGAGCUUUGGUGGCCUCCCAAGUUGAUUUCACACUCCUGCCCAGAGAACGGGCUCAGGGAACAAAAGAUUACUAGGUGAACUGGGUGGGGGGUGAGAAAAGAGGCUAGAACUGUGUAGGUGCUACCCAGCCGACAAGCAGAUUCCGUCCUGGACUUUGGAAGUCAGCUGUUUGGAAUGUGAGCUGUUUUCCUAGGAAUGGUAGAUAGGUUCCCACGCCAGCACACAAAGGCAUAUUUAAUCCUGAAUCCAGCUGAAAUAGCGCUGCGGCACAGUGAAAUAGAGCAGAUCACAGCGCUCCCGUAGUAUUAGUCACCAAUCAAAGCAGAAUAAAGCAAUAAAUGAAACACAGAGAUAGUAUUUUGUUUAUGCUAAUAUUGAUGCUGGAAGGACAGGUUGAUCUGCAGGCGGAUGGAGAGGUAAUUGGGGAUUUGUCAAGAUUAUGAAGGAGUGGCUUGCCUUUCUCUUUAGAAUGUCAUGAUACUAAAUUCCUGUAGUUAGGUUUUCUUAAAUGUGGUUCUAGACUGUUACCUUCUCUUUUUCUGAAGGCACGUUUCUCACUAAGAAAGAGAGAAAGAAUUCUGAGACAAGUUGGCAAGAGUUGAAAAGGAGAGCGGAAAGGAUAAGGGCAUUAAAGACAGUGUUGGGUUUGUUUUUUUAUUAACACGAGCAUCAACAGAGACAGAAUGAAGUUGAGUUGUGAGCAGUGAGGGAUGGAUCGUCAGAAGGAGGGUCAGAACUCUCUUCUGACAAAAGGGAGGAAAGAAAGCAGACAAAAACUGACUAUACAGUUUAAGAACUGCUGUUCUGGAAAACAUCCCUCCUAUUGUACUGCCCUUAGAAUUGGCCCAUAGUCACAUUCCAUGUCACCUUGUCCCCUCUCUGGCUACAUGGGCAGCUGACCAGAGGCCUUGACAAUGACCAAUGAUAUGGCAUAAGAAGGUGAGCUGGACCAAUCUGAUGUCCUCUUUUUCCCUCCCAGGCAUUUGACCUCAGGAAUACCCAAGGCGUUUGUUCGACCGUGACGGGAAGAGGUGCAUGGCUGGCCAUGGACACUUGACAUGUUCUCAAAUCAAAGCUUCUAGUUAGGUUUCCUGUGGUGGCUAAAGUACUUUCUUUUCGGGUUCACUAUACAUUUAUUAACCAUUCUAUUUUUGUACCAUACAAAUUAUCAUUGCUGACGGUUGAAUGGCUGGAUUUGGAGAAAUGUGGUAGCCCUAAUGGAAUUAAUUAAGUGAAUAAUAUUGCCUGACAAAUGGCUCCGCGUACCAAAGAGGGCUUGAGACUUAAUUACUGAUGUCAUUUAUCUCUCUAUUUGCACCCCAACAAUAAGUGACUCGCUUCUCAUUAACGUUGGAUCAUCUUCGAAAAGGAAAAAAAGUGGCCAAAAUAUCAAGAAAGAAAAAAAAAUUGAUGUCUUCGUUCCCCACUUCAUUAUCCUGAUAAAUCAUAACAGACUCUGUUAAUUAGAUGGGCAGCUUUAACUGGCUGACUCCUGUCCAACAAUUACCUCAGAAAGAAGCACCACUGGGAACAUUUCCUUCCCUUGGGAGGACAUGAAAGAAAGUCCAUAACAGAAAAAGGGAUCAUUUCCCCAGCCGUGCUGGGGACCACAGUGGUCAGUAUGAAUUUCUAGACUGAAGGGCUGGAGCUGUUGCAGAGAUGUUGCUGAUGCGUGAUGGCGAUGGUGGGGUGACCCAUGCUGUCCUCUUAAUCUAAGACUUAGGUAAUGGUCCCCCGUGCCUCCACCUCCCCUGGGGAGAUUAGAGCCUAAUUAAACAGAGGAACAGGUGUAAGAGGGUUAGAUUGAAUCAGGCCAAAUUAAUUGCUGAGAUUGGUUUUGCAUUUGGUAACUGGAAACAAUGAAUUAACUACAGUCGGAAGACAGCUAAUCCCUUGGUCUCGCUGCGACUGUGUAUAAAACAGACUAGACUUGCUGGGAACACAAACAAAGGGGGAUUUGACGUGAAAGUACAACGCAUCUUUGCAUGAGGAAGGCUGGGCAAUGAGCCUUGCCACGCAGAGUGGCUAUAUGUGUCCCGGACUGCCUGCCUGGGACAGCCCUGGUUUAUGCCUGUUGUUCCUGGAAAAUUAUUAAUAGUGCCCCCUUUGAUUCUAGAAAAAUGCCCCGGUUUGGACUAUCAAUCAAAUAGUUACUGUAUUUCAACGUCAAUUUUAAGCUGCCUUUUUCUUCUCUCUUUACCAGAAGAGUGGUGUCAUAGGUUGAAUUGUGUUCCCCCAAAAGACACUGAAGUCUUAAUUCUCAGCACGUGUGGAAGUGACCUUAUUUGGAAAAUAGGGUCUUUGCAGAUGAUCAAGUUAAGAUGAGGUCAUCAAUACUGGCCUAACCCAAUAUGACUGAUGUCCUUAUAAAAUGGAGAAACUUGGACACAGAGACAGACGUGCACAUAAGGAGAAUGCCAUGUGACAAGGGAGGCAAAGAUUGGGUGAUCUUUCUACAAGCCAAGGGGUGCCAAAGAUUGUCAGCAAACCGCUAGGAGUUCCGGGAGAGGCCUGGAGCAGAUCCUUCGUCUCAGCCCUCAGAAGGAACCAACCCUACGCACACCUUGAUCUCGGACUUCCAGCCUCCAGAACUGUGAGCCAAUACAUUUCUGUUGUUUCAAGCCAUCCACGUGUGGUAUUUUGUUAUGGAAGCCUGAGCAAACUAAUUCAAGCGGGUACUGGUUUCAAAGUGUCUAAAAACGCUCUCAUUGCUCUUGGGGUUUGUACAGUUCACAGAAAUGAGCCAUCUUGCUGGCCAAGGCUGCCGGCGGGGCUACUGUGAGAAGUCGGUCAGUAACCAAUACCGAUUUCUCAGUACCAGGCGCUGGAGAGAUGGUGAAGGAGACAGAUGUGGUUCCUGAUCUCCAGCAGCCAGCAGUCUGGUGGGAAGGGGAGGCAAUGAAGAUGACCUUGUACUUAAUCAGUUAAAUAUGAAUAUGUAUUCAGUGUGCAGAGGACGGACCGACGAAGCACAUCCUGGGGGAGGCACCCCAAGCUGGGCUGGAAAAAAAAAGGCUCGCAGAGGAAAGGAUGUCUAAGCUGAGACCUGAUGAGCAAGGGUUAUCUGGAUUUUAAAAAUGGGCUGUGGAAGGAGCAGGUGUGAAGGCUCUAGGGCAAGAGGAAGCAAGGAGCGUACACACAUACCCAGAGAAAUCCAAGAACAGAGCAGCUGGGGACGGCAUAGUAGCUUCCAGUUCUUUUUCUCAGCCUUCAUCUUCUCAUGCAUCAAAGGUUUACAGCACACUUAACAUGUUCUGUCCCCCGAGCUAGGGGCUGGGGGAUGCCCGUGGUGGAGACCAACACGUAAACUGCCCAUCAAGCAGCUGAUGGCCCAGGGCUGGGAAAAGAGAUGGGAGCAGACGGAGAGAACAGAGCCACCACUUCUGUCAGGACAACUCGGAGCAGCGGAGGAAGCCACCUCUCAGUUCCAGCUCCAGGAAACAAUGCCACAAGGAAGUAAUCAAACCUCUUAAGUUCCCACCUGGAGACAGCGAACACAGGGAAAGGAUCCUCGAGAGUAAUGUUACCCUCCAAACAACUGGCUGCCGAGCGCACACAAAUAUCUGGUUUCCACCACUUGCAGAGGUGCGUGAGGACCAUCCCAGCCCCGCUCUUGCCGCGGGUGCCUCUGAGAGGUCUGCCCCAGAUGCCUGCCUCAUGCUCACUUUACUGCAAACACUUGCCUUGGUCCUGUGCUGCGUGGGGUCAUGCUGGUUUCUGCAGAGAACUAGGAAGAUGAACAGGGGCUGUUCCAUGGGGCUGAACUGUGGCUCAAGGGCAGGCUGGGGACCAGAGGCCAUGCCAGUGGUCCUGCUGACCUCAUUUCUACAGGCCUGCCUGACCCCAUGCCUCCGUGCAUCCAGCAUCAACCUCCCAGCUCUCUCCAGCCCCAGAUGAGCUUGUGGGGACCCCAAGUUCAUCAUUCUCAAUUGGUCCCCCAUACAUGUACACGUAUACACGUGCAAGUAUCCACUGGAAUUUAAAAUUUUAAUAGUAGUAACUUCUGAAUGGCAAGAUUGGGGUGCUUCAAUGUUUUAAAUGUUUUUCUUGCUUACUUGUGUUUUUAAAAUUUCC